rnacentral:rRNA from 1 species
CCCUUAGAUGUCCGGGGUUGCACGCGCGCUACACUGACUGGCUCAGCGUGUGCCUACCCUACGCCGGCAGGCGCGGGUAACCCGUUGAACCCCAUUCGUGAUGGGGAUCGGGGAUUGCAAUUAUUCCCCAUGAACGAGGAAUUCCCAGUAAGUGCGGGUCAUAAGCUUGCGUUGAUUAAGUCCCUGCCCUUUGUACACACCGCCCGUCGCUACUACCGAUUGGAUGGUUUAGUGAGGCCCUCGGAUCGGCCCCGCCGGGGUCGGCCCACGGCCCUGGCGGAGCGCUGAGAAGACGGUCGAACUUGACUAUCUAGAGGAAGUAAAAGUCGUAACA